UCGUACUCGAUCAAAACCACGUAUCUGUGUCCUGAAAAUACUUGUACAUAUCAGCAUUACAACACUCGAUCUUUAUUCGAAUGGAAAUUUCUCCGAUAUAAUCGCGUCUGGUCCACGUGCCACGUUCUUCGACGUUUCAAGGUGGCGAAAUCGCGGAGACACUUAAGCGAGCGCGCGCGCGCGCGCUUCUUCGCACGCAAGAAAAGAUAACCCCUGCUACAACGAGAAACAGAGACGACUAGAUCGAACGGCGGCCAGUACCUAGUUUACGAGCCACUAAAAAUACAAGAACGAGCGGCCUCGCCGUCCAUCGCGACGUUUUACUUUACAUUUCGUCUGUGGACGUCUUUUCGCGAGCACUUCUCGCCUUGGGGUGCAAAUGGGAAGAAAAUUGAUAGGUGAAACGUGAGAAGGAAAUCUGAAGCAAAAAACAGGAUGAGUGUCGUAUGGGGGCGACAGAAGUAUGGUAGAAAAUUGAGAGUCAGAAAGUGGCAAAGAAUUACUAGAAAAUUAGGCUGAACAGAAAUUGCAUUUGCGGAAAUAAUAAAAACUUACAUUAUAGAAAUCCGAUAAUUUAGAAUUUCGAGAAACCACGGAGGAUUGGAAGUUGAAGAAUUACGAGGAAUUAGAAUUGGGAAGAGAAUAGACAACAAAAAAUUUCCAAAAGUGCUGAAUAAUGCGAUAAAAAAGAGAUUAGAUAAUAUCUGAAGAAAUUAGAUAGAGGAUAAUGUGCUAGAAUUUCCAGGACAGUAGUAUCUAUGAUUCAUGAUGAGCGAACCGCGAUCAUCGAUACGGUGGUGAAUCGGACGACUUCAAUGCUAUUUGAAAUGUUUAAAUGUAUCUUAUUAUACUAUGAAAGAAGAUCAUAAAUAUUCAAUCUUUGCAAAUUGGAAAUUUAACCAUUCGGAUGACCUCUGAACUUUCUAAUAAAGGUUUCGAUGACCCUUCAUUUAUAGGAAGAUACGAUACAGGCGUUUUUAAAUAAAUAUAUGUAUAAAUAUAUGUAUAAAUAUAUGAUAAAAAGUACAUUGUUCAAAGUAAAUAUUGAACCUUCGAGCCAUCUUCAAAUUGCAAGUCUAAUGUCCCAACUUUCCAUUCAACGAUCCAUAUCUUAAUUGUUUAUCUCCCGGAAAAAAGAUUCUUCGUGUGAAAAUAAAUAUUAAGUUUUACGAUAAACGAAGGAUCUUGGAGCGAAGCCUUCGAAAUACCAGUCGAAUUAAGAAUAAGUAGAUACAAUUGUC